rnacentral:piRNA from 1 species
UGGCAGAGCAAAACUUAUAUCAUGGCAGCC